rnacentral:rRNA from 1 species
UCCUGGCUCACGAUGAACGCUAGCUACAGGCUUAACACAUGCAAGUCGAGGGGAAACGACAUCGAAAGCUUGCUUUUGAUGGGCGUCGACCGGCGCACGGGUGAGUAACGCGUAUCCAACCUGCCCACCACUUGGGGAUAACCUUGCGAAAGUAAGACUAAUACCCAAUGACGUCUCUAGAAGACAUCUGAAAGAGAUUAAAGAUUUAUCGGUGAUGGAUGGGGAUGCGUCUGAUUAGCUUGUUGGCGGGGUAACGGCCCGCCAAGGCGACGAUCAGUAGGGGUUCUGAGAGGAAGGUCCCCCACAUUGGAACUGAGACACGGUCCAAACUCCUACGGGAGGCAGCAGUGAGGAAUAUUGGUCAAUGGACGAGAGUCUGAACCAGCCAAGUAGCGUGCAGGAUGACGGCCCUAUGGGUUGUAAACUGCUUUUAUAAGGGAAUAAAGUGAGUCUCGUGAGACUUUUUGCAUGUACCUUAUGAAUAAGGACCGGCUAAUUCCGUGCCAGCAGCCGCGGUAAUACGGAAGGUCCGGGCGUUAUCCGGAUUUAUUGGGUUUAAAGGGAGCGUAGGCCGGAGAUUAAGCGUGUUGUGAAAUGUAGACGCUCAACGUCUGCACUGCAGCGCGAACUGGUUUCCUUGAGUACGCACAAAGUGGGCGGAAUUCGUGGUGUAGCGGUGAAAUGCUUAGAUAUCACGAAGAACUCCGAUUGCGAAGGCAGCUCACUGGAGCGCAACUGACGCUGAAGCUCGAAAGUGCGGGUAUCGAACAGGAUUAGAUACCCUGGUAGUCCGCACGGUAAACGAUGGAUGCCCGCUGUUGGUCUGAAUAGGUCUGUAAAACAAGCGAAAGCAUUAUUCAUCCCGCCUCGGGAGAGGGCCGGCAG